rnacentral:rRNA from 1 species
CUACGGAGGGUGCAAGCGUUGUUCGGAAUUAUUGGGCGUAAAGCGCGUGUAGGCGGUCUGUUAAGUCUGGUGUGAAAGCCCUGGGCUCAACCCAGGAAGUGCAUUGGAUACUGGCAGACUUGAGUAUGGGAGAGGAAAGCGGAAUUCCGAGUGUAGGAGUGAAAUCCGUAGAUAUUCGGAGGAACACCAGUGGCGAAGGCGGCUUUCUGGACCAAUACUGACGCUGAGACGCGAAAGCGUGGGGAGCAAACAGGAUUAGAAACCCUUGUAGUCC